UACGUAGGGUGCGAGCAUUAAUCGGAAUUACUGGGCGUAAAGCGUGCGCAGGCGGUUUUGUAAGCCAGAUGUGAAAGCCCCGGGCUUAACCUGGGAAUGGCAUUUGGGACUGCAAGGCUUGAGUGCGGCAGAGGAGACUGGAAUUCCUGGUGUAGCAGUGAAAUGCGUAGAUAUCAGGAGGAAUACCGAUGGCGAAGGCAGGUCUCUGGGCUGACACUGACGCUCAUGCACGAAAGCGUGGGGAGCAAACAGG
rnacentral:rRNA from 1 species